AGUGAACGCUGGCGGUAGGCCUAACACAUGCAAGUCGAACGGCAGCACAGUAAGAGCUUGCUCUUACGGGUGGCGAGUGGCGGACGGGUGAGGAAUACAUCGGAAUCUACUUUUUCGUGGGGGAUAACGUAGGGAAACUUACGCUAAUACCGCAUACGACCUACGGGUGAAAGCAGGGGAUCUUCGGACCUUGCGCGAUUGAAUGAGCCGAUGUCGGAUUAGCUAGUUGGCGGGGUAAAGGCCCACCAAGGCGACGAUCCGUAGCUGGUCUGAGAGGAUGAUCAGCACACUGGAACUGGACACCGGUCCAGACUCCUAGGGGAGGCAGCAGUGGGAAAUAUUGGACAAUGGGCGCAAGCCUGAUCCAGCCAUACGGCGUGGGUGAAGAAGGCCUUCGGGUUGUAAAGCCCCUUUGUUGGGAAAGAAAAGCAGCAGGUUAAUACCCCGCUGUUCUGACGGUACCCAAAGAAUAGCACCGGCUAACUUCGUG
rnacentral:rRNA from 1 species